GAUUAACGCUGGCGGCGUGCAUAACACAUGCAAGUCGAACGAUGAAACUUAACUGAUUUCUUCGGAAUGAUUUUAAGUGGAUUAGUGGCGGACGGGUGAGUAACGCGUGAGUAACCUGCCUUGGAGAAGGGGAUAGCCUUUGGAAACGAAGAAUAAUACCCUAUCAUAUGAUGAUAUCUCAUGAUAUUAUCAUCAAAGAUUUAUCGCUCUAAGAUGGACUUGCGUCUGAUUAGUUAGUUGGUGAGGUAACAGCUCACCAAGGCGGCGAUCAGUAGCCGGCGGGAGAGCGGGUACAGCGAGAUUGAGACUGGGACACGGCCCCUACUCCUGCGAGAGGCAGCAGUGGGGAAAUAAGCACAAUGAGGGUAAUCCUGAUGCAGCGAGGCCGGGAGAUUUAGAAGGCCUUCGUGUUGUGAAAUUCUUUUGUAUGGGAAGAAAAUGACGGUACCAGAUGAAUAAGGACCGGCUAAUUACGUG
rnacentral:rRNA from 1 species